rnacentral:sRNA from 1 species
AGUGGAGGUGGUGGUGGUAGUGGAGGUGUCUGCAGCUUUUGGUUUUGCUGUUGGCGUUAUCGCUGUUGUUGUUUGGGACGAAGAGAGGGAGAAGGAGAAGGGCGGAAGGAUGUUGUUUAGGUACUCUACUGGGUCGAAGGCGGGAUCUGCGAAUACGGAGAGGGUUGGGUCAAGGUGGGAGGAUGAAGAUUGCUGUGUCAUCUUGGGGCCUUCUGGGGGUCCGUGUAGAGUGGCGGGGUCCAUGGCUUGUGGAAUCGGAGUAUGAAAUGAAUGGGAUAAAUAUGUGACGAACGUUAUUCCGGUCUUGGUUUGUUGCUUUCUUUUUGGGGUGCGUGGUCGGGACGGCUCCACGCCUUUUCAAGCGGUGAUUUGUGUCUGGGUAUUCCGGGGCAUUUGUAUUAAAAGAAAUGUCUAUCAAUUGAGCAUUGGUUUCCUGGAAACCUCUGCGGUAGGAUGUAGUGUUUUUGUCCGUGCCUUGUAUGUAGACCGUGGCACAGAUAGGCGGAAGUUGCUUCUGGCGUAGAGCUUAACUGGUUAACUGGUGAUCACGGCGG